UUUUUUUCGUUGAGACGAAGUCUCACUCUGUCACCCAGGCUGGAGUGCAGUGGCAUGAUGUUGGCUCACUGCAACCUCCGCUUCCCAGGUUCAAGCGAUUCUCCUGCCUCAGCCUCCCAAGUAGCUGGGAUCACAGGUGUGCACCACUAUGCCCAGCUAAUUUUUUUAUUUUUAGUAGAAAUGGGGUUUUGCUAUGUUGGCCAGGCUGGUCUCGAACUGUUGAUCUCAAGUGAUCUGCCCACCUCAGCCUCCCAAAGUGCUGGAAUUACAGGCGUGAGCCAUGGUGUGAUCUCAGCUCACUGCAACCUCCGCCUCCUGGGUUCAAGUGAUUCUCCUGCCUCAGCCUCCUGAGUAGCCGGGAUUACAGGUGCCUGCCACCAUGCCUGGCUAAUUUUUGUAUUUUUAGUAGAGAUAGGGUUUCACCAUGUUGGCCAGGCUAGUCUCGAACUCUUAUAACCUCUUGUGAGGCUGGGCUCCUCAGGAAGAAUGCUCAUUACAGCUACAAACAUUGAACAGGCUGGAAAGGGCUUCAGGCAGCUGUGCCUGCCAUAUGUAUGUCUUCGGAUCACACACUCAAGAAAAGUUGGCUUUUGAAGUCAUGGAAAGCUGUCAAGGGCCAGAAGGACUGCUACAUGGAGACCCAAAGACAAAUGAAGACUGACUGGAUAACAGAACCCCAGAGUGAUGGUUAAUAUUGAGUGUCAACUUGAUUGGAUUGAAGGAUACAAAGUAUUGAUCCUGGGUGUGUCUGUGAGGGUGUUGCCAAAGGAGAUUAAUAUUUGAGUCAGAGGACUGGGAAAGGUAGACCUCAAUUGGGGUGAGCACAAUCUAAUCAGCUGCCAGAGCAGGCAGAAUAAAAAGCAGGCAGAAGAGCAUGGAAAGACCAGACUGGCUGAGUCUUCUGGCCUCCAUCUUUCUCCCGUGCUGGAUGCUUCCUGCCCUUGAACGCUGGACUCUAAGUUCUUCAGCUUUGGGACGUUUGGACCUUUGACCACACAGGAGCCAGAGCAAGGCCAGGCCAAAACCUGUAUUUAAUGGAAAUUAUGAAUACAGGCAGACCUCGGAGAUAUUGCAGGUUCGGUUCCAGACCACCACGAUAAAGGGUGUCACAGAGGUGCUGGUUUCCCACUGCAUAGAAAAGUUAUGUUUACACAAUAUGGUCCGGGCACGGUGGCUCAUGCCUGUAAUCCCAGCACUUAGGGAGGCCGAGGCGGACGGAUCACUUGAGCCCAGAAGUUCAAGUCCAGCCUGGGCAACAUUGCAAGACCCCAUCUCUACAAAAAAAUAAAAAAUUAGCUGGGUGUGGUGGCACUCACCUAUAGUCCCAGUUACUUGGGAGGCUGAGGUGAGAGGAUCAUCUACCUGAGCCCGAAGAGGUCAAGGCUACAGUGAGCUGUGAUAGUGCCACUGAUUUCAGCCUGGAUGACAGAGUGAGACCCUGUCUCAAAAAAAAAAAGUUAGGUUUACACUAUACCGUAGUCUAUUAAGUGUGCAAUAGCAUUAUAUUUAAAAACAUAUAUAUGUACAUACUUUAAUUUAAAAAUAAUUGGCCGGGCGCAGUGGCUCGUGCCUGUAAUCCCAGCACUUUGGGAGGCCGAGACGGGUGGAUCACCUGAGGUCAGGAGUUCGAGACCAGCCUGGACAACAUAGUUAAACCCCGUCUCUACUAAAAGUACAAAAAUUAGCCGGGUGUGGUAGCUGGCGCCUAUAGUCCCAGCUACUCAGGAGGCUGAGGCAGGAGAAUCGCUUGAAUCCGGAGGCAGAGGUUGCAGUGAGCCAAGAAUGCACCAUUGCACUCCAGCCUAGGUGACAGAGCAAGACUCUGCCUCAAAAAACAAAACAAAACAAAACAAAAAACCUUUAUUGCUAAAAAUGCUAACAAUCAUCUGUGCCUUCAGCAAGUCCUAAUCUUUUUGCUAGUGAAGGGUCUUGCCUCAUGUUGAUGACCACUCACUGAUCAGGGUGGUGGCUGGUGAAGUUUGGGGUGACUGUAGCAAUUUCUUUUUUUUUUCCUUAUUUUUGUUUUUAUUUUUCCUAGUGCCUUCAGGUGAAAACAAUUUCUUAAAAUAAGAAAAUAAUGAAAUUUUCUGCAUCAAUUGACUUUUCUUUUUUCAUUUUUGUGUUUU
rnacentral:lncRNA from 10 species